UCCUACUAGAAAACAGCUUUAUGAAAAGUGUCAGGGUCAUCUUUAGAAACCCAAAGAAAACAAAACAAAACCCCCCAAAAAAGCCUACCACCAAGAAGGCAAAGAGGGGGGGGGAAAAAAAAAAGAAACGCCGCGCACAACUCAAUUAUUCAGCUGCACACAACUGCGCCUGACAGGCCCUGCUAACAACACUCUCUUGAAUUUAAUUAAGUUUGUCCCCGCAGCCUGUGAACUGCUGGGCCAGACCUGCAGCAGUGGGAUGAAAAGCUUGGAGGCCGACCCCGCGAGGCCAUUGUUGAUAAGCAAGGGCACGGCGCUCUGAGGUGAGAAAACUAAGACCCAGACGUGAAGAAACUUGCCCAAGCCUUGCUAUUGGAGCCAGACUAGAAUUGAGUUCUGUUGUCUCCCCACUAAGAUCGCUCUUUCCAGCACAUCAUUGAAAGGAAGAACCAUCUGGUACUAUGGAAAUAAUGGGAGACUUGGAAGAAUGUGGACAUCUUGCCAGUGUGGACAUCUUCCACAAUGAAUCACCCUGCUUAGACCUAAACCUCUGGGAAGUUUAGGAUAAAGGGAAUCUCAUUUCCUUCACAGUUGACCAUAAAAACAAGUCUUCAUUAUUGUCAUUAUUCUUCCUACUAUUAUUAAUUUAGUAUUUGGCUAGAACUUAGAAUUAAAUCUUGACUUCUUAUCAUGGCCAUUAUGACCUCUGCCUUUCUCCUACAAUCCUCCAGCUAUGCAAAGUGGGGUCCGUGCACCAAUCCCCAUCUGUGGAAGUGAGAGUAAUAAACUGGUACAGCUCGUUA